rnacentral:rRNA from 1 species
UACGGGGGGGGCAAGCGUUGCCCGGAUUUAUUGGGCGUAAAGGGCGCGUAGGCGGCCACGCACGUCCGUUGUGAAAUCGCCCGGCUCAACUGGGCGGGGUCGGCGGAUACGGCGUGGCUGGAGCAAGCUAGGGGGCAAUGGAAUUCCCGGUGUAGUGGUGGAAUGCGUAGAUAUCGGGAGGAACACCAGUGGCGAAGGCGGUUGCCUGGAGCUUUGCUGACGCUGAGGCGCGAAAGCGUGGGGAGCGAUCGG